AAACACAAAUCCUGUAUACAAUAAUUCUCUAUCUUCAAGUGGGGCAAAGAAAAUAUCCUUUUAAAACUCAUGUAAACUGGGUGUUUGUUGUAUAUCCUGUCAGAGGAAACAAAU